GACAGAGGGUGCAAACGUUGCUCGGAAUUACUGGGCGUAAAGCGCGUGUAGGUGGAUUGGUGUGUCAGAUGUGAAAUCCCUGGGCUCAACCCAGGAACUGCACCUGAAACUACCAGUCUUGAGUGAUGGAGAGGGAAGUGGAAUUCCUGGUGUAGAGGUGAAAUUCGUAGAUAUCAGGAGGAACACCAGUGGCGAAGGCGGCUUCCUGGACACCAACUGACGCUGAGACGCGAAAGCGUGGGGAGCAAACAGG
rnacentral:rRNA from 1 species